rnacentral:rRNA from 1 species
AUUGAACGCUGUCGGCAUGCCUUACACAUGCAAGUCGAACGGUAACGGGUCCUUCGGGAUGCCAACGAGGGGCGAACGGGGGAAUAAUAUAUCGGAACGCGCCCUGUAGUGGGGGAUAACUGGUCGAAAGAGCAUCUAAUACCGCAUACGACCUGAGGGUGAAAGGGGGGGAUCCCACGACCUCUCGCUAUUGGAGCGGGCGAUAUCACAUUAGCUAGUAGGAGGGGUAAAGGGCUACCAAGGAAACUAUCUGUAGCUGGGCUGAAAAGACGACCAGCCACCCUGGGACUGAGACACGGCCCAAACUCCUACAGGAGGCAGCAACGGGGAAUUUUGGACGAUGGGCGCAAGCCUGAUCCCUCAAUGCCGCGUGCAUGAAGAACGCCUUCGGGUUGUGAACUGCUUUUGACAAGGAAGAAAUCUUCUGGGCUAGUACCCCGGGAGGAUGACUGUACCUGAAGAAUAAGCACCGGCUAACUACGUGCCAGCAGCCGCGGUAAACGUAGGGUGCGAGCGUAAAUCAGAAUUACUGGGCGUAAAGCGGUGCUCGCGCUGAUUUUCGAGACGUAUGUGAAAUCCCCAGGCUCAACCAGGGAACAGCGUUUGAGACUGCAAGGCUAGAGUACGGAAGACGGGGAUGGAAUUCCGCGUGUAGCAGUGAAAUGCGUAGAUAUGCGGAGGAACACCAAUGGCGAAGGCAAUCCCCUGGGCCUGUACUGACGCUCAUGCACGAAAGCGUGGGGAGCAAACAGGAUUACAUACCCUGGCAGUCCACGCCCUAAACGAUGUCAACUGGUUGUUGGACGGCUUGCUGUUCACUAACGAAGCUAACGCGUGAAGUUGACCGCCUGGGGAGAACCGGCGCAAGGUAUGAGACUCAAAGGAAUUGACGGGGACCCGCACAAGCGGUGGAUGAUGUGGUUUAAUUCCAUGCCACGCGAAAACCCUUACCUACCCUUGACAUGUCAAGAAUUCUGCAGAGAUGCGGAAGUGCUGGAAAGAGAACUUGCACACAGGUCAUGCAUGUCCGUCUGUCAGUCUCGCUGCUCGUGAGAUGUUGGGUUAAGUCCCGCAGCGAGCGACAACCCUUGCUCAUUAUUUGCUACGCAAGAGCACUCUAAUGAGACUGCCGGUGACAAACCGGAGGAAGGUGGGGAUGACGUCAGGUCCUCAUGGCCCUUAUGGGUAGGGCUACCCCCGUCAUACAAUGGCCGGUACCGAGGGCCGCCAACCCGCGAGGGGGAGCCAAUCCCACAAAACCGGUCGUAGUCCGGAUCGUAGUCUGCAACUCGAGUGCGUGAAGUCGGAAUCGCUAGUAAUCGCGGAUCAGCUUGCCGCGGUGAAUACGUUCCCGGGUCU